UACAGAGGUGCCAAGCGUUAGGCGGAAUCACUGGGCUUAAAGCGCGUGUAGGUGGGUCGUUAAGUGUCCGCGUGAAAUCCCACGGCUCAACCGUGGAACUGCCGGGCAUACUGGCGAUCUUGAGGCAUUCAGGGGCGAGCGGAACAAAUGGUGGAGCGGUGAAAUGCGUAGAUAUCAUUUGGAACGCCAAUGGUGAAAACAGCUCGCUGGGAAUGAUCUGACACUGAGACGCGAAAGCCAGGGGGGCGAACGGG
rnacentral:rRNA from 1 species